CAGCAGCCGCGGGAAUACGUAGGGUGCAAGCGUUAAUCGGAAUUACUGGGCGUAAAGCGUGCGCAGGCGGUUAUUCAAGACAGAUGUGAAAUCCCCGGGCUCAACCUGGGAACUGCAUUUGUGACUGGAUGACUAGAGUACGGCAGAGGGGGAUGGAAUUCCGCGUGUAGCAGUGAAAUGCGUAGAUAUGCGGAGGAACACCGAUGGCGAAGGCAAUCCCCUGGGCCUGUACUGACGCUCAUGCACGAAAGCGUGGGGAGCAAACAGGAUUAGAUACCCCAGUAGUCCCUGUCUCUUAUAC
rnacentral:rRNA from 1 species